rnacentral:rRNA from 1 species
ACAUGCCAUGCCUCAGUACGGCGAGUGAGCGGCAAAAGCUCAAAUUUUAAAGCUGGCACCUUCGGUGUCCGCGUUGUAAUUUUGUGAGGCAUCUCCGGGUAGGGCGCCGGCCUAAGUUCCUUGGAACAGGACGUCAUAGAGGGUGAGAAUCCCGUGCUUGGCUGGCUGUCCCCGUCCAUGUGAGGUGUCUUCGACGAGUCGAGUUGUUUGGGAAUGCAGCUCAAAAUGGGUGGUAAAUUUCAUCUAAAGCUAAAUAUUGGUGGGAGACCGAUAGCGCACAAGUAGAGUGAUCGAAAGAUGAAAAGCACUUUGAAAAUAGAGUUAAAAAGUACGUGAAAUUGUUGAAAGGGAAGCGCUUGAGACCAGACUUCGGUGGGGGGUGAUCAGCUGUCCUUCUGGGCGGUGCACUUGCUCCCCUCCGGGCCAGCAUCGGUUGGGGCGGCGGGAUAAAGAUCACGGGAAUGUGGCUCCUUUCGGGGAGUGUUAUAGCCCGGGUGAAUGCCGCCAGCUCCGACCGAGGACCGCGCCUUCGGGCUAGGAUGCUUGGCAUAAUGGUCUUCAGCGACCCGUCUUGAACCACCGGAACAAGC